AUAACGUUGCCAUCUCGACCCUGAUGCCCAUGAACACAAAUGACGAGUUUAAGACAAACCAAUGGCGGAAUGGAAUUGAUUAAUGGAAUAAAAUAUUUAUUAUGUAUGGACACUAAGUUUUAUGGUUAGACUUUAGCCUAAAAAAACAUGCGCGCUGAUUACAAUUUUGGCAGUCAUAUCUGAAUGGCUCAAAAACUGGUUAUAUUUCUUUAACUUUUGGUAUACUUAAAUUCGGGCUAUUAUUUAAUAUAUAUAUUGAUCAACAGCGGCGAUAAAAAUCAUUAGUCUCGACAAUGACUAGUUGUCAGUGAAAGUCUCUCAGGGGAGCCAGGCGGCUCUGUGAAUAAAGAGCUGGCUUGAACGCCUCGUGUUCAUUAGCCUGAAUAGUGAAGGAAUGCGGGUCAUUAAAGCCCAAUUUCAUUUCAUAAAUCUCUCGGCUCAAUAAUGAGCUACUCGGGUUGGUUAGAUCCACGCCUUAAUGCAUAUACAACCAAUAGAGAAAUAGGUCAAAUAUGGCGACAAUGAUCAACUUGCUCUUCUUCUACUAAAUUAAAGAUUCGUGUGGAGAUUCUGUCGAUAUAAUCAUAUAUUUAUAUCUGCUCUUUCUUAAAAUGGAGACGGUUUAUUCAGUCUGGUUCCAGUUUGUGUGCACUUUGGAAGAUCCAGCAAGGGAAGAUGUCUUGGCAUCUCGAACAGUAGUACAUGCUUUGAAGCAAGAGAACUAAAAGAGUGUUUUUGUGGAUAAAACUGCGAUUCUACUCACCUUAGCUAUUUGUGUACACCAAUUCAACAAAACUUUCGAUCCAAUGUGAUCUUUGUUUUUU